CAUCUACUCCCUCUGUCUGGAAAUAAUUGUGCUAGAAAUGGUUGUAUAUAGACUUAUUUUAGUUAUAGAUACAUCCAUUUUAUCCAUUUCUAGGACAAGUAUUUCUGGACGGAGGGAGUACUUG
rfam:Triticum aestivum genome assembly, contig: Triticum_aestivum_CS42_TGACv1_scaffold_528473_6DL